GAAAUGCGAUAAGUAAUGUGAAUUGCAGAAUUCAGUGAAUCAUCGAAUCUUUGAACGCACAUUGCGCCCGGGAGCAUUCUCCCGGGCAUGCCUGUUCGAGCGUCAUUUCAACCCUCGAUCUCCCCUUGGGGAGGCCGGCCGUUGGAGAUCGGCAGCGAUUGCCGGCUCCCAAAUUCAGUGGCGACCCGCCGCGGGGACCCCUGCGCAGUAACAUACACUCGCACCGGAAACCAGACGUGUCACGCCGUAAAACCCCAACUUUCUGAACGUUGACCUCGGAUCAGGUAGGAAUACCCGCUGAACUUAAGC
rnacentral:misc_RNA from 1 species